rnacentral:rRNA from 1 species
AUUGAACGCUGGCGGCAUGCCAUACACAUGCAAGUCGAACGGCAGCACGGGAGCAAUCCUGGUGGCGAGUGGCGAACGGGUGAGUAAUAUAUCGGAACGUGCCCAGUCGUGGGGGAUAACGCAGCGAAAGCUGUGCUAAUACCGCAUACGAUCUAAGGAUGAAAGCGGGGGAUCGCAAGACCUCGCGCGAGUAGAGCGGCCGAUAUCAGAUUAGCUAGUUGGUGGGGUAAAGGCCCACCAAGGCGACGAUCUGUAGCUGGUCUGAGAGGACGACCAGCCACACUGGAACUGAGGCACGGUCCAGACUCCUACGGGAGGCAGCAGUGGGGAAUUUUGGACAAUGGGCGCAAGCCUGAUCCAGCAAUGCCGCGUGCAGGAUGAAGGCCUUCGGGUUGUAAACUGCUUUUGUACGGAACGAAACGGCCCUUUCUAAUACAGGGGGCUAAUGACGGUACCGUAAGAAUAAGCACCGGCUAACUACGUGCCAGCAGCCGCAGUAA